UACGGAGGGUGCAAGCGUUAUCCGGAUUCACUGGGUUUAAAGGGUGCGUAGGUGGGUCUGUAAGUCAGUGGUGAAAUCUCCAAGCUUAACUUGGAAACUGCCGUUGAUACUAUAGACCUUGAAUGCUGUGGAGGUGAGCGGAAUAUGUCAUGUAGCGGUGAAAUGCUUAGAUAUGACAUAGAACACCAAUUGCGAAGGCAGCUCACUACCCAGAUAUUGACACUGAGGCACGAAAGCUAGGGGAGCAAACAGG
rnacentral:rRNA from 1 species